AGGGUUUGAUUCUGGCUCAGGAUGAACGCUGGCGGCGUGCUUAACACAUGCAAGUCGAACGGGAUCCAGGCAGCUUGCUGCCUGGUGAGAGUGGCGAACGGGUGAGUAAUGCGUGACCGACCUGCCCCAUACACCGGAAUAGCUCCUGGAAACGGGUGGUAAUGCCGGAUGCUCCAGUCCAUCGCAUGGUGGUCUGGGAAAGAUUUCAUCGGUAUGGGAUGGGGUCGCGUCCUAUCAGGUAGUCGGCGGGGUAACGGCCCACCGAGCCUACGACGGGUAGCCGGCCUGAGAGGGCGACCGGCCACAUUGGGACUGAGAUACGGCCCAG
rnacentral:rRNA from 1 species